UUUAAGGNGGGGNCAGGCGCACCAAUUACUCUAUGCCCCGCUGCGAAUUAGUGAUAAAAAGAGGACUGGUUAGCGCUUUGCUUCUUCUUUGUCCUCUGAGAGCAAUGUAAUACCCUCAUCACGGAUCCAUUGGAGGGCAAGUCUGGUGCCAGCAGCCGCGGCUCUCCAGCUCCAAUUUCAUACACUAAAGUUGUUGCAGUCAAAAAUCUCGUACUCAAAUGUAUGGGAGUUGCGGGGUGGAUGUUUGGUUGGUUUUGCCGACUUGACAAUACUCGCCCCGCCUCCCGUUUGUUCCGCUGUUUUUUAAAGAGGGAUCUGUAAAGGUUGUUCAAAC
rnacentral:rRNA from 1 species